AGAGGAGAAAGAGAGCAAGCGGCGGGGAAAAAAAGUGUUUCUACGCGUUUUCGUGGAGAACUGAAAGGGCGGCCGUGGCAGUGAAGAAGGGAAACUCGGGGUUUUACGGUAGCGUGUCAUUGCAUGCUCUGUUGUCUCUCCAGUUUCUCCACAAUGGAUUUGUAUUCAGUGUUCUAGGCACUUGAACGUGCCUGUUUACUCGAUUCGAGUUCUGGCAAUGUGGACGCAUAAGAUCAUCGCGCAUAAAGCGGUGUGCUCGUUCUGCCACUGCACACCAAAGUGCGCAAAGGAAGCUACGUUUCAACUGUUUCUUUCCACGUUCACAAGCAGCGAGAUUGGCACUGAAUCAGGUGCCAAAGCACGUAAAUCUUGUGGUUUUACCCGGAGCGCUGUGUCCUGACUGGAAAGGGUUGAAAAGACCGUUGGUUGCUGGGCAGGUUGGAGACACACAGAGUUAAAAAAGAAGGGGAUUUGGCUUGCCACUCGAGAUGACAAGAUUUCUACGAGGAAACAGCAGAGUCUCUCACUUGUUCGCUAAACGUGUGUCGGAGCGCGUGUGUUGAGUGCCGGUCGACUGCUAUCAUCAGGCUCUGCAAACAGCCACUUUCUUCUGUUUAUCUUGGGCGGGCAGGAGGACCAUCCAUCCACACAGCGAGUCGUGUACUUGCGGAAAACGACAUUCGCGACUUCGAAGACACCGGGAAACGAACUUCCUCCAUUGUUGGGAGACCUAUUUGUAGAAAGGCACCUCUCAGUAUAGAGUCACG
rnacentral:lncRNA from 1 species